rnacentral:rRNA from 1 species
UACGGAGGGUGCAAGCGUUAAUCGGAAUUACUGGGCGUAAAGCGCACGCAGGCGGUCUGUCAAGUCGGAUGUGAAAUCCCCGGGCUCAACCUGGGAACUGCAUUCGAAACUGGCAGGCUUGAGUCUUGUAGAGGGGGGUAGAAUUCCAGGUGUAGCGGUGAAAUGCGUAGAGAUCUGGAGGAAUACCGGUGGCGAAGGCGGCCCCCUGGACAAAGACUGACGCUCAGGUGCGAAAGCGUGGGGAGCAAACAGGAUUAGAUACCCUGGUAGUCCACGCCGUAAACGAUGUCUACUUGGAGGUUGUGCCCUUGAGGCGUGGCUUCCGGAGCUAACGCGUUAAGUAGACCGCCUGGGGAGUACGGCCGCAAGGUUAAAACUCAAAUGAAUUGACGGGGGCCCGCACAAGCGGUGGAGCAUGUGGUUUAAUUCGAUGCAACGCGAAGAACCUUACCUGGUCUUGACAUCCACGGAAGUUUUCA